GAACCUCGAGUGCCAGGUUACAAAUCUGGCUGUCGAGAUGCCUAAAAAGCAUUUCAUAGCAAGGGCCGGGCAAGACCGGUGCCAGCCGCCGCGGUAACACCGGCGGCUCGAGUGGUAACCGUUAUUAUUGGGUCUAAAGGGUCUGUAGCCGGCCGGAUAAGUCUCUUGAGAAAUCUGGCAGCUUAACUGUCAGGCUUUCAGGAGAUACUGUCUGGCUCGAGGCCGGGAGAGGUGAGAGGUACUUCAGGGGUAGGGGUGAAAUCUUGUAAUCCUUGAAGGACCACCAGUGGCGAAGGCGUCUCACCAGAACGGACCUGACGGCAAGGGACGAAAGCUAGGGGCACGAACCGGAUUAGAUACCCGGGUAGUCCUAGCCGUAAACGAUACUCGCUAGGUGUCGGCCACGGUGCGACCGUUGUCGGUGCCGUAGGGAAGCCGUGAAGCGAGC
rnacentral:rRNA from 1 species